AUUCCAUGAACAACCAGGAAAUAACAAAUAAAACUGGAAUGACAUAAAGAAGAUUAGCAUGCCUAUGGGCAAGGAUGACAUGCCCAAAUCAAGAAAUAACAAAUAAAAUCUU
rnacentral:snRNA from 1 species